GAUGAAGAACGCAGUGAAUUGCGAUAAGUAAUGUGAAUUGCAGAAUUCAGUGAAUCAUCGAAUCUUUGAACGCAGCUUGCGCUCUCUGGUAUUCCGGAGAGCAUGCCUGUUUCAGUGUCAUGAAAUCUCAACCACUAGGGUUUCCUAAUGGAUUGGAUUUGGGCGUCUGCGAUUUCUGAUCGCUCGCCUUAAAAGAGUUAGCAAGUUUGACAUUAAUGUCUGGUGUAAUAAGUUUCACUGGGUCCAUUGUGUUGAAGCGUGCUUCUAAUCGUCCGCAAGGACAAUUACUUUGACUCUGGCCUGAAAUCAGGUAGGACUACCCGCUGAACUUAAGCAUAUCAAUAAGCGGAGGA
rnacentral:misc_RNA from 1 species